rnacentral:lncRNA from 1 species
CAAAAUAUUCAAACUUCACUUGUGUGAUUCACACUUUGUGUGUUUCACACUUAGCUUUAACCAUAAAGGCCAUCAACAAUUUGGCUAAAGGUUGGACUUAGCUUAAAUUGUAAUCCUAUAAACAAGUAACAUGGAGACAUUUUAAUCACUAAAAGUCAAAAAAUUGUAAUCUUAUUCACUAAAGAGUAUAUCAUCUAAUUUCCUCAAGUAGGCAGAACAAAACACAAAGCAAGGAUCAUUCAACCAUUCAUCACAAAAUCCCUAAUAAAUCAAUUAAAAAAGAAAGAGUCUCUUA